UAGAUUUUGGUUGUAAUUUGAUUUGAUCAAAUGUUGUAAAAGAGCAUAAGCUCUUCUUUACUUUAAAGUAAUUUAUUUUGAUCAAUUGUUGUAAAAGAGCAUAAGCUCUUCUUUACUUUGAAGUACUCCUUUCUUGUAUUAUUUGAUAUGCAUGAAAAUGGAGUAGAGGGUCCAACACACCUUAAUGUGAUUAAACGCGUAACUAAAAUCAAUCACCAUCCCUAGACCGAGAUUCAACACUAGGCUCGUGUUGAAUCUAAACAAAGGUUCAUAGUCAUCCUAAGGUCCUAAGGCAACUAUAUAGUCCAUCAAUGAAUGCAAACCUUAUGUUAGUAGUAUCAUAUACUCUUGCUUUAAAAACCGUUUUAUAAGCAUAGUGAGAGUAUUAUAUACAACUAAAACAAUCAAAUGGACCAAUAGUUGUAAUAGGACCAAAAUUGUUUUAAUAUAGAUUAAAAUGAAUAUUUAUAUGUGAUGAGACCUAAAAACCCUCAACCAAACCAUUAUUAAGUUGAUAAGCGUGAGAGUGCUUUGAACACUCUUUCGUGGCCUUCCACCGUGGUAGCUCUGAUCGUUUGUGACUCGUACACUGGCUUCACCCUAUCAUGGGGGAGUACAAAGUGCGUGCUUACACUCAGGAGGAGUCUAUAUACAUACUUGAUGAGGUGAGGUGGGCAACGAGUUUAGCCAACAUGAUAUAAUUCUGAGGCUAUGCUUGAACCCCUACACGAACUAGGCAUGGUGGGAAUGACUUAACUAAGUGCAAUGACGCCAACAUGAUAUAAUUCUCAGGCAUCAUUCUCUAGAGGCCAAAUUAGAUGGGUACUUGCAAGAGAUGCAAAUGAGUAAGCGUACUCUCUCAUUAUUAUUAACGCUAGCCAACAUGAUAUAAUUCUGAGGUGGGCUUGGUAGUAGUGAGUCUCCCAUACCCUACUAAGAGUUUCAUCCAAAACUCUCGAAUUCCAAUGAGGGAUAUGGAAUUUGCCAAAAAUAGUGGGUGGUGCUAUUUGAUUUAAAGACCCGAAUCAAAUGGCUUAAAAUCAAUCAAUUUAUAUUCGUUAUGUAUUUACUUACCAUUAUAUUUGCAAACGCUAUCCCACACUUGACAAAUAAAAGCCGAAUGCUUUAGUUUCCGGACUUGGUACAACAAUCCCAAAGAUUGUCUUAAAUGAAUUGUAGAAGUACCUAAGUAGUCUCAUCCUCACAAUCUUCCUAUUGAUAAUGUAUCAUUGGAAGAA
rnacentral:lncRNA from 1 species